rnacentral:rRNA from 1 species
UUUUAAUGGAGAGUUUGAUCCUGGCUCAGAGUUAACGCUGGCAGCGUGCAUAACACAUGCAAGUCGAACGAGCUAUCCGCAAGGGUAGCUAGUGGCAGACGAGUGAGUAACAUGUAAGGAAUCUACCCUCGAGUGGGGAAUAACUCGCCGAAAGGCGAGCUAAUACCCCAUAAUUCCGGAUGACGGCAUCGUCGUCCGAGGAAAGGCUUCGGCCGCUCAAGGAGGACCUUGCAUCCUAUCAGCUAGUUGGCGGGGU